UACGUAGGGGGCUAGCGUUGUCCGGAAUCAUUGGGCGUAAAGAGCGUGUAGGCGGCCCGGUAAGUCCGCUGUAAAAGUCAAAGGCUCAACCUUUGAAUGUCAGUGGAUACUGCCGGGCUAGAGUCCGGAAGAGGCGAGUGGAACUCCUGGUGUAGCGGUGGAAUGCGCAGAUAUCAGGAGGAACACCGAUGGCGAAGGCAGGUCUCUGGGCUGUAACUGACGCUGAGGAGCGAAAGCAUGGGGAGCGAACAGG
rnacentral:rRNA from 1 species